CUCCCCCACUUCCUAUUAUUUAUUCCUCCAUCUCCAUCCCUGUUGUUUUGCUCAGUCUCUCUGCGCUUCUCUCUCUACACUGUUUUCCUGCUUCUUGUCCCUCUCUUGUUCCCAGCAUCCCAUUUUCUGGCUCCCUGUCUUGCACCUCUGUGUCCCUCUGUCCUUCCUCCUGCUUUACUCUUCCCUUUUAUCACCCCAUCCUGCUGCCUUUGGGCACUGAGCCUUGUAGCCAACUCAUUGCCAGGAUUUCUUAUAUGCAUUAAUGAAUAAAUUUUUCCUGCCUCCUCUGUGUCCCUGGAUGUGGGUUUCUUAUAGGCACCCUUUACAUACCAUGAAGUCUGCUAUAAGGUCUCCUGCAAAGCUGCAUGCCAGUGAGCGGUCCGAGAAGAUGUUGAAGACCAAUGUGUCACCUUGAGGAACAUCCCAGUUAGCCUGUGUGGUUUUUGUGGAGGAUGGACUCAGCCCCUCGGCCCUCUGAAAGCUACGUUGAGGG